UAGGCCAUUUUCCAGUGAUUGAAGCCACUGUUCUGGAAAGGAUGGAUGCCCAGCUUUCGAAGACACAGUCCCACAUAUACGUCUUCAAGGUGAAGCAGCCUUGUGUGGAGUGAGGUCUUGUAAAUGAGUUCAGCCACAUCGGCUGAAAAGAUGUAGCCAGUCCCCGAACAGAAAGGUGGGGUCGCUUUGGGACUCUGAGAUUCUCACGCAGGAAGUUUAUUGGAGCAUGUUCUUAGGAACAACACCUGUCUCUAAUGUGAGAGGAGAAAGAAGAAGGCAAAGGGAGAGUCUGAACCUUGAUGCAGUCACAGCACAGACCUGAGCUGACCCUGCAGGGAGCUCUGGGGCUGGGAUGGUUCUGCAGAGUCCAGUGGGUGCCAGGCCAGCUUGCAUGGGCUUGGGCAGAGCUGGUGGUGCACACUUCUUCCCAACUUCGCAUUCAAUGACAUCAUGUUGAUAUCUUGAAACUGGUGGCACAUACGUUUAUAACACAAAAAUAGGCAAUGCUAGAAACCAGGGGUUCUCCCAUUUCCCUUGCCUAGAAAGCUGGUUUGCCAGAAAAGCCACAGUGAAGAAAGAUUGCUUCCAUAUCUCUGUGCCCAAAUUCAUGCAAUAAAUUCUUCGCUGUU
rnacentral:antisense_RNA from 1 species